GCUGCUGAUGGAUCAGGGCAUGGCGUUCCCCGGCGUGCACAACUUCGUGGAUCUGCUCCAGCAGAACGGCAACGACAAGAACCUCGGCUUCGGCUCCCUUAUGCCACAGACUUCCUCCGGCGACCAGUGCGUCAUGGGCGAGGGCGACCUUGUGGACCCGCCGACGGACAACUUCCCGGACGCCGGGGAGGACGACAGCGACGACGACGUGGAUGACAUCGAGGAGCUGGAGCGCCGCAUGUGGCGCGACCGCAUGAAGCUCAAGCGCCUCAAGGAGCUUCAGCAGAGCCGCGGCAAGGAGCAGGCGGCCGGCGGCGGCGGAGUGGGCGACGGGUUGAAGCCGCG
rnacentral:lncRNA from 1 species